rnacentral:other from 1 species
UGGCCCCUGCCGUGUUUGUGAUUGGAAGAUGUUCUUUGACCCAACAUCCAUUUAAAAGGGAGCCUUCUCUGAUUUUGGUGUGCAGGUUCUGCUUGUACAGAAAAGCCUAAAGAAAUUAAAAGGCACCCACUUUAUUUUUAUGGUUCAAAGACCUCCCGACACGGCAUUGUGGCAGGGGUUCU